CGUAAAGCAACCUGCCCGGAAGUUGGGGACAACAGCGCGAAAGUGCUGCUAAUACCGAAUGUGGAUGAUUGACGGCAUCGUUGAUUAUCUAAAGCUUAAUGCGCUUCUGGAUGGGCUUGCGGCCUAUCAGUUAGUUGGUGGGGUAAUGGCCUACCAAGACGUUGACGGGUAGCUGGUCUGAGAGGACGGCCAGCCGGAUUGGGACUGAGAUACGGCCCAG
rnacentral:rRNA from 1 species